AUGGCUCAGAUUGAACGCUGGCGGCAUGCCUUACACAUGCAAGUCGAACGGCAGCACGGGAGCAAUCCUGGUGGCGAGUGGCGAACGGGUGAGUAAUACAUCGGAACGUGCCCUGUUGUGGGGGAUAACUAGUCGAAAGAUUAGCUAAUACCGCAUACGACCUGAGGGUGAAAGCGGGGGACCGUAAGGCCUCGCGCAAUAGGAGCGGCCGAUGUCUGAUUAGCUAGUUGGUGGGGUAAAAGCUCACCAAGGCGACGAUCAGUAGCUGGUCUGAGAGGACGAUCAGCCACACUGGGACUGAGACACGGCCCAGACUCCUACGGGAGGCAGCAGUGGGGAAUUUUGGACAAUGGGGGCAACCCUGAUCCAGCAAUGCCGCGUGUGUGAAGAAGGCCUUCGGGUUGUAAAGCACUUUUGUCCGGAAAGAAAUGGCUCUGGUUAAUACCUGGAGUCGAUGACGGUACCGGAAGAAUAAGCACCGGCUAACUACGUGCCAGCAGCCGCGGUAAUACGUAGGGUGCGAGCGUUAAUCGGAAUUACUGGGCGUAAAGCGUGCGCAGGCGGUUUUGUAAGACAGGCGUGAAAUCCCCGGGCUCAACCUGGGAAUUGCGCUUGUGACUGCAAGGCUAGAGUGCGUCAGAGGGGGGUAGAAUUCCACGUGUAGCAGUGAAAUGCGUAGAGAUGUGGAGGAAUACCGAUGGCGAAGGCAGCCCCCUGGGACGUGACUGACGC
rnacentral:rRNA from 1 species